rnacentral:rRNA from 1 species
GACGAACGCUGGCGGCGUGCUUAACACAUGCAGGUCGAACGGAAAGGCCCUGCUUUUGUGGGGUGCUCGAGUGGCGAACGGGUGAGUAACACGUGAGUAACCUGCCCUUGACUUUGGGAUAACUUCAGGAAACUGGGGCUAAUACCGGAUAGGAGCUCCUGCUGCAUGGUGGGGUUGGAAAGUUUCGGCGGUUGGGGAUGGACUCGCGGCUUAUCAGCUUGUUGGUGGGGUAGUGGCUUACCAAGGCUUUGACGGGUAGCCGGCCUGGGAGGGGGACCGGCCACAUGGGGAAUGAGAUGAGGCCCAGACUCCGAGGGGGGGCAGCGGUGGGGAAUUUUGCACAAGGGGCGGAAGCCGGAGGCAGAAACGCCGGGGGGGGGAAGGCGGCCUUGGGUUGGAAAACCGCUUUCGCCUUUGACGAAGGGGGAGGGACGGUAAUGGGUAAAAAAGCCCCGGCAAACCCCGG